rnacentral:rRNA from 1 species
AAAUUGAAGAGUUUGAUCAUGGCUCAGAUUGAACGCUGGCGGCAGGCCUAAAACAUGCAAGUCGAGCGGAAACGAGUUAACUGAACCUUCGGGGAACGUUAACGGCGUCGAGCGGCGGACGGGUGAGUAAUGCCUGGGAAAUUGCCCUGAUGUGGGGGAUAACCAUUGGAAACGAUGGCUAAUACCGCAUAAUAGCCCGGUUCUUCGGAAUUGGUCUCAAAGAGGGGGACCUUUUAGGCCUCUCGCGUCAGGAUAUGCCCAGGUGGGAUUAGCUAGUUGGUGAGGUAAUGGC